rnacentral:tRNA from 1 species
ACCUUCAUGGUGUAGUGGUCAGCACACUGGGCGCGUGCUCCAGAGGUCCGUGGUUCGAAUCCCGGCGAAGGCG